rnacentral:lncRNA from 1 species
UGAUAAGGCACAUAUUAGGGUUUCCAUACCCUUUGCCAUCUUGACAGUUUCUUCUGCCUCAUUCUUUGAUCUUGUUCUGCUGCUCCAUGAUUCUGAACAUUAGAAGGGCCGUUGUGCAUGAUUCCCACGUGGCACAAAGCUCACCCUUUUGUCUGCAAUUCUUGUUUGCUCAUUCAUUGCCAGUUCCAGAAAGUCUAAGUUAUUUUUUAUUUUGCAGGUAUUUCCUGGGAUGUAUGGUGAUGCACUUAAUGAUUGUUUUUGUGGAGUUUCUCCUGGCUGUGGAUCAAAGAUCUCUGCAAUUCGCUUCAGGUCAGAGGCAAUCUAACUUCCUUAGAGUAUUCAUCAGUUCUGUGAGACUACAUAUGGCAAAGGAGGAGAGCAGCCCCAGCCAUCUGUCUGAGAAUGGUUUUGUGCAAGGCCAAGUUCUUGUGAAGACAAAAGAAAACUUUGGGGAGUCAUGUUUUCCUGGAAGAGAGCUGUGCACUCCUUUUUACACUUUGCUGAAGCUGGUCGUAGCCUCCGGAAAGCCUAAUCUACGUUCUUUACUGUUAUCCUGGGUACCUGCUGCUCUCCAACAAUGUGACUCAAGAACUUUUCUUUUUGCACAACAGAUUGGCCCUUUUCAUUGAUUGGCAGCCUUCUUCCUUCUCAUCUCUUCAGACUACACAUAGUAAUGGUGAGGAAAAAGCACCCAUUUGCAUGAUUUUGUGUAUCGGAUUGUCAGAUGAUUCAGACAGUAAAGGCCAGUAA